CACGUAUCCAACCUGCCGUCUACUCUUGGACAGCCUUCUGAAAGGAAGAUUAAUACAAGAUGGCAUCAUGAGUCCGCAUGUUCACAUGAUUAAAGGUAUUCCGGUAGACGAUGGGGAUGCGUUCCAUUAGAUAGUAGGCGGGGUAACGGCCCACCUAGUCUUCGAUGGAUAGGGGUUCUGAGAGGAAGGUCCCCCACAUUGGAACUGAGACACGGUCCAAACUCCUACGGGAGGCAGCAUG
rnacentral:rRNA from 1 species